AUUGAACGCUGGCGGCAUGCUUUACACAUGCAAGUCGAACGGUAACAGCACUUCGGUGGCUGACGAGUGGCGAACGGGUGAGUAAUACAUCGGAACGUGCCUAGUAGUGGGGGAUAACUACUCGAAAGAGUAGCUAAUACCGCAUGAGAUCUAAGGAUGAAAGCAGGGGACCUUCGGGCCUUGCGCUACUAGAGCGGCUGAUGGCAGAUUAGGUAGUUGGUGGGAUAAAAGCUUACCAAGCCGACGAUCUGUAGCUGGUCUGUGAGGACGACCAGCCACACUGGGACUGAGACACGGCCCAGACUCCUACGGGAGGCAGCAGUGGGGAAUUUUGGACAAUGGGCGCAAGCCUGAUCCAGCAAUGCCGCGUGCAGGAUGAAGGCCUUCGGGUUGUAAACUGCUUUUGUACGGAACGAAAAGCCCUCUUCUAAUACAGGAGGGUCAUGACGGUACCGUAAGAAUAAGCACCGGCUAACUACGUG
rnacentral:rRNA from 1 species